CUCACCCUCUCAGGCUUUGGUAGCCACCAUUCUACUCCACUUCUGCUCAUUCAACUAGUUCAGAUCUCACAUAAAAGUGAGAUCACUUGGUAUCUGCCCUUUGGUGUCUGGCUUAUUUCACCUACCAUAAUGUCCUCCGCAUUCAUCUAUGUCAUGUAUUGAAGUGCCCUCACACUUUGCUGUUCACUGCAGGUCAUAAACCGUGAGACAGAUCUGGAUUUAUUCCUUGCUUCUAACACUGACCUGCUUCAUUCCUGCAAAGCCACUGGAUGUCUUGGAAUCUCCGUUCUCUCACCAUGAACUGACUGAAGAAAGUUACCCAAAACACAUAGCAGGAACCUACCUAAUCGUCACGAGUUCUCUAUCUCAUCACAGAGGUUUGCUAUGAAGGAAUCCUGUGGGGGAACUCCUUAAGACAUGUAGGUAAUAUCCUCUCACCAAUUCAUCUUUUCUGCUAGUCUGACUUUUCAUUUAUUAGAUUUCUUGACAGUAAACUGAAACCUUAAAGAAUGGAUUUUAAAAUAUUUUGGAAAUGACCUAUUUAUUCUGAAUUAUAGUCAACACCGUGAAACCACAGCAUUGGGAAGAUUUUUGGACAUCCAAUAAUGAUUUGACUUGCUACUGAAAAUAAAAUGUUAUUUAAAAACAUUUUUAUCUAUCAUUUUAUUUUCAAAACUUUAAAUGAAUUGCCAUUCUACAGUUGACAGUUUUUGCUCUGGUAAACGUAAUACAUAUGACAAUACUUCAAAAAGUUUUGGAAAACAUGUAAUUAAAAGAAAGGUUUAUUUUAGUGCAAUUUUGAAAUCAUGCCUUUUUUCAAAAUACACAUUUUCCAUGAACUUUUCUUUUUUUUUCUUUUUUUUCUUUUUGACAGGCAGAGUGGACAGUGAGAGAGAGAGACAGAGAGAAAGGUCUUCCUUUUGCCGUUGGUUCACCCUCCAAUGGCCGCCAUGGCCGGCGCACUGCGGCCGGCGCACCGCGCUGAUCCGAAGGCAGGAGCCAGGUGCUUCUCCCAUGGGGUGCAGGGCCCAAGCACUUGAGCCAUCCUCCACUGCACUCCCGGGCCACAGCAGAGAGCUGGACUGGAAGAGGAGCAACCAGGACAGAAUCCGGCGCCCCGACCGGGACUAGAACCCGGUGUGCUGGUGCUGCAAGGCGGAGGAUUAGCCUAUUGAGCUGCGGUGCCAGCUCCAUGAACUUUUAAAAAAUAUUUAUUUAUUCAUUUAUUUGAAAGGCAGAGUGACAGAGGGAAUUGGAGAGAUGGAGAAAAAAGAGAGAAGAGAGAUAGAGUAUGAGAGAGAGAGAGAGAGAGAGAGAGAGAGAGAGAGAUCUUCUAUCUGCUGGUUCACUCCUCAAAUGGCAACAGUUAAGUCUGGGCUAAGCUGGUACCAGGUGCCAGGAGCUUCAUCUGGGUCUCCCACAUGGGUAGCAGGAGCUCAAGUACUUGGGCCAUCUUCUACUGCCUUACCAGACACAUUAGCAGGGAGUUGGAAGGGAAGCCGAGCAGCCAGGAUUCAUUCAGAUAUGAGAUGUCAGUGGCCCAAGUGGGGGCUUAAUCCUGUGCCAUGAUGAAGACCCCUUCCAUGAACUUUUUGAAGACCUCUCAUCAGCAUGAAUUUCAACAUUUUGGAACCAAAGUCAAUUUACCUUUUAAUUCCAGUGUCAGUGAACUUUCUGAAGACCCUCAUACUUAAUCACAAAGAAUGCCACUGAGUGGUAACAGUGGUGCUGGGGUUAUGAUUAUGUUUUAAUUUGUUUUGUGCUGAAAGGCAUGACCAUUUACAGAGCUGUCCCAUAAAACCUGUCAUGUUCCAGUCACCUCACGUUAUCAGCAUCCUCCUGGAGGAAUAAGCAGUGUUUUUUUUUUUUCCCAGUUCACACUGUGCAAUCUCUUCCCCAUGUGUGUGAACUUUGCAAGAUGUCAAGUACCCCAUUAAAAUGAAUGGAGCUUUUGAGGGGCUCCUGCAAACCCUCUAAUGAUCUUCCCUUUUGAACAAACAGCAUUUUAUUGUGCGAAUUAGAAAAACAACACAGAGUCUGGCAUAAAGAGGAUGGAAACCUGGCACUACGCCACAAAAGAACUUGAACCUCGGUCUUGGGCCUCAGGGGACAUCCAAGUAUCGCAACAGAAUCAUUAUUUGAGUUGCAUGGGAACCCUGGUGGAUCAGGGAACCCUUUCUAAUAUGGAGCUGGGCGCGAAGUCCUAUCCAGAGGGGAACUGAGAAUAAUCACUGUAUUCACUGUUGGGCCUUACCCCUCAUUUCCUCGGUAGCAUUAAGACCCACUUUGGUCAGGAGGACUGCGUGUGGGAAAAUCCCUCUGCAGCAGCUGCUGUUAGCCCUCAUGGGAUGGGUGUCACCACUCCUUGCUGCUGCUGCUGUGUUGGGUUCUUUGCAGCAGCAUUCUCACUGUACUCUAAAGCAGAGUGUCUUGAUGAUAGAAGUUUCUUUAGAGACUUCAACAUCCUUUUCAAGAGCCCUCUUCUAGCUGCCUGUGCAGAUGGCUGCCUCAACCGGAGCCUGAAUGAAUUUGUCUUUCUGGCCUGCCCUAGGCUUUUAGAGGCUGUAUGAGGAGUGGAUCAUCCAUGUGAUCCCGUGUGAGAAGGCAGUAUGAUUUAUGAAAGAUCUAAUUUUUAGACAGAGCUCCCAGGGUAGAGCUGGUCUGGGGCUCACUGAUUUCCAUAGCUUUCUGACUCUAUAAAAGAUGGCCUCUAAGGCCAUCAUGUGGGUUUUUGAAAUUUCUAUUUACGGGUAUCUCUUUCAAUUUGAGUAUAUUGUCUUUAUUUUUGUUUUAGACAGCAAAUGAUAUGGGCAAACAGCAUACCUUUCAUGCUAUAAAAUUAUAAGUUGAUUAAAUCUAUCAACUGAAGCUUAGUUUCCAUGAACUGUUGACAAUGAUGGUGGAACCAGGAUUCCAGGCUGGUUCAGGAAGGUGAUGGACUCAUCGGCUUUUCUUGAGCUUAAAGGGAGUUGCAGACAGAGCAGUAUCUUUAUAGCUCCCUGUUUCUU